UACAGAGGGUGCGAGCGUUAAUCGGAAUGACUGGGCGUAAAGGGUGUGUAGGUGGUUUAAUAAGUUAGGUGUGAAAGUCCUGGGCUUAACCUGGGGAGGUCGCUUAAGACUGUUAAGCUAGAGUACUGUAGAGGAAAGUGGAAUUUCCGGUGUAGCAGUGAAAUGCGUAGAUAUCGGAAGGAACAUCAGUGGCGAAGGCGACUUUCUGGACAGAUACUGACACUGAGGCACGAAAGCGUGGGGAGCAAACAGG
rnacentral:rRNA from 1 species